AUUGAACGCUGGCGGCAGGCCUAACACAUGCAAGUCGAGCGGACGAAGGGAGCUUGCUCCUGGAUUCAGCGGCGGACGGGUGAGUAAUGCCUAGGAAUCUGCCUGGUAGUGGGGGAUAACGUCCGGAAACGGGCGCUAAUACCGCAUACGUCCUGAGGGAGAAAGUGGGGGAUCUUCGGACCUCACGCUAUCAGAUGAGCCUAGGUCGGAUUAGCUAGUUGGUGGGGUAAAGGCCUACCAAGGCGACGAUCCGUAACUGGUCUGAGAGGAUGAUCAGUCACACUGGAACUGAGACACGGUCCAGACUCCUACGGGAGGCAGCAGUGGGGAAUAUUGGACAAUGGGCGAAGGCCUGAUCCAGCCAUGCCGCGUGUGUGAAGAAGGUCUUCGGAUUGUAAAGCACUUUAAGUUGGGAGGAAGGGCAGUAAGUUAAUACCUUGCUGUUUUGACGUUACCAACAGAAUAAGCACCGGCUAACUUCGUG
rnacentral:rRNA from 1 species